GGCUAAUUGAUAUAAGUGAUGAAGUGUUUGACUUGUAAUCUUUUAAGGACUACUUGGACAAAAAGCUACGUGAUUUAGAUGAUUCAAUGAAACGCCAUCUAUCUAGUGAAAAAAAGAGCUUACAGUACAAUUUGAAAAAAAAACUUCGAUGAGUUGAAAAAUACGUUGUCUGCUAAUAAUCUAUCUGGAACUCCUCGGCUUAACGUAUCUGAUGCAACAACAAAAUUAUAUGUCAAAUUGCCCUUUACAGAAUUAGAAGAUUUUAAGAAAUUUGAUGACGACGUAAAAAGGUCAGAAUCAAAAAAAGAAGCAUUGACUACUGCUAGAGGAUGUAUAUGUAAAAUAGCAUCUGCUUUAUUGACUAAAAGUAUUGAAACACAUUAUUCAGGCACGG